rnacentral:rRNA from 1 species
UACGUAGGGGGCAAGCGUUAAUCGGAAUUACUGGGCGUAAAGCGUGCGCAGGCGGUUUUGUAAGCCAGAUGUGAAAGCCCCGGGCUUAACCUGGGAAUGGCAUUUGGGACUGCAAGGCUUGAGUGUGGCAGAGGAGACUGGAAUUCCUGGUGUAGCAGUGAAAUGCGUAGAUAUCAGGAGGAAUACCGAUGGCGAAGGCAGGUCUCUGGGCUGACACUGACGCUCAUGCACGAAAGCGUGGGGAGCAAACAGG